GACGAACGCUGGCGGCGUGCCUAAUACAUGCAAGUAGAACGCAGUUGCGAACGGGUGAGUAACGCGUAGGUAACCUGCCUCAUAGCGGGGGAUAACUCUUGGAAACGAUAGCUAAUACCGCAUACUGUGAGAUGGACCUGCGUUGUAUUAGCUAGUUGGUGAGGUAAAGCCUCACCACGGCGACGAUACAUAGCCGACCUGAGAGGGUGAUCGGCCACACGGGGACUGAGAAACGGCCCAGACUCUUAGGUGAGGCAGAAGGAGGGAAGCUUCGGAAAGGGACGAAAGUCUGACCGAGCAACGCCGCGUGAUGGAAGAGGGUUUCCGGAUCGUAAAACUCUGUUGUUAGAUAAGCGGUAUCUAACCAGAAAGCCACGGCUAACUACGUGCCAGCAGCCGCGGUAAUAC
rnacentral:rRNA from 1 species